rnacentral:rRNA from 1 species
UACGUAGGGGGCAAGCGUUGUCCGGAUUUAUUGGGCGUAAAGAGCGUGUAGGCGGCCUGAAAGGUCAGCUGUGAAAACUCGAGGCUCAACCUCGAGACGUCGGUUGAAACCAUCUGGCUAGAGUCCGGAAGAGGAGUGUGGAAUUCCCGGUGUAGCGGUGAAAUGCGUAGAUAUCUGGAGGAACACCGGUGGCGAAGGCGGCAUCCUGGACCGAUACUGACGCUGAGGAGCGAAAGCCAGGGGAGCAAACGGG